CCCAAAGGUGAAUUUUUUG
rnacentral:miRNA from 1 species